rnacentral:rRNA from 1 species
GAUGAACGCUGGCGGCGUGCCUAAUACAUGCCAGUCGAGCGAACAGACGAGGAGCUUGCUCCUCUGACGUUAGCGGCGGACGGGUGAGUAACACGUGGAUAACCUACCUAUAAGACUGGGAUAACUUCGGGAAACCGGAGCUAAUACCGGAUAAUAUAUUGAACCGCAUGGUUCAAUAGUGAAAGACGGUUUUGCUGUCACUUAUAGAUGGAUCCGCGCCGCAUUAGCUAGUUGGUAAGGUAACGGCUUACCAAGGCAACGAUGCGUAGCCGACCUGAGAGGGUGAUAGGCCACACUGGAACUGAGACACGGUCCAGACUCCUACGGGAGGCAGCAGUAGGGAAUCUUCCGCAAUGGGCGAAAGCUUGACGGAGCAACGCCGCGUGAGUGAUGAAGGUCUUCGGAUCGUAAAACUCUGUUAUUAGGGAAGAACAAAUGUGUAAGUAACUAUGCACGUCUUGACGGUACCUAAUCAGAAAGCCACGGCUAACUACGUG